rnacentral:rRNA from 1 species
UACGGGGGGGCAAGCGUUGUUCGGAAUUACUGGGCGUAAAGGCUCGUAGGUGGCCAACUAAGUCAGACGUGAAAUCCCUCGGCUUAACCGGGGAACUGCGUCUGAUACUGGAUGGCUUGAGAUUGGGAGAGGGAUGCGGAAUUCCAGGUGUAGCGGUGAAAUGCGUAGAUAUCUGGAGGAACACCGGUGGCGAAGGCGGCAUCCUGGACCAACACUGACACUGAGGAGCGAAAGCCAGGGGAGCAAACGGG